UUGGGCGUAAAGCGAGCGCAGGCGGUUAGAUAAGUCUGAAGUUAAAGGCUGUGGCUUAACCAUAGUACGCUUUGGAAACUGUUUAACUUGAGUGCAAGAGGGGAGAGUGGAAUUCCAUGUGUAGCGGUGAAAUGCGUAGAUAUAUGGAGGAACACCGGUGGCGAAAGCGGCUCUCUGGUCUGUAACUGACGCUGAGGCUCGAAAGCGUGGGAGCGAACAGGAUUAGAUACCCUGGUAGUCCACGCCGUAAACGAUGAGUGCUAGGUGUUAGACCCUUUCCGGGGUUUAGUGCCGUAGCUAACGCAUUAAGCACUCCGCCUGGGGAGUACGACCGCAAGGUUGAAACUCAAAGGAAUUGACGGGGGCCCGCACAAGCGGUGGAGCAUGUGGUUUAAUUCGAAGCAACGCGAAGAACCUUACCAGGUCUUGACAUCCCUCUGACCUCUCUAGAGAUAGAGAUUUCCUUCGGGACAGAGGUGACAGGUGGUGCAUGGUUGUCGUCAGCUCGUGUCGUGA
rnacentral:rRNA from 1 species